rnacentral:rRNA from 1 species
CAGCAGCCACGGUAAUACGUAGGUCCCGAGCGUUGCCCGGAUUUAUUGGGCGUAAAGCGAGCGCAGGCGGUUAGAUAAGUCUGAAGUUAAAGGCUGUGGCUUAACCAUAGUACGCUUUGGAAACUGUUUAACUUGAGUGCAAGAGGGGAGAGUGGAAUUCCAUGUGUAGCGGUGAAAUGCGUAGAUAUAUGGAGGAACACCGGUGGCGAAAGCGGCUCUCUGGUCUGUAACUGACGCUGAGGCUCGAAAGCGUGGGGAGCAAACAGGAUUAGAUACCCCGGUAGUCCCUGUCUCUUAUACA